rnacentral:piRNA from 1 species
AUGGCUCAGGGGUUAAGAGCACUGA